rnacentral:rRNA from 1 species
AUGUCCCUCCGGCGGUCUGUCGGUUCCCUCCUCGCACGGAGGUUCUCGCCACGGCCACGGGCGACCCCAAGGACGGCUCCUGCACGAUCGGUCCACUCCUUGAAGGAUUUCCCCAUCGCUCAUGGCAUUGGUCGUGCUGCUGUUGUGGCCGCGGCUGCGCUUGCUAGUGCUGGAGCGUUGGCACAUCAGUAUUUCAGGAAAGGCCCAGCAGAUGAUGAGUCAGCUCCCCGCGGGAAAGAGGAGGACCUGAAAGCGAUGUUCGAGGAUUGGGCCAAGAAACAGAACAGGACAUACCGAGACGAGGAAGAGAAGGCCAUGCGGUUCCAAGUGUUCAAAGACAACGUCGACUGGAUCGAAUCGCUGCCCCCAUCUAUCCGGGAAAAGUCGCUUCCAUUAAACUGUUUCGCAGACUUUAAACCCGAGGAGCGCCCGUUGGGCCGGUCCGGCCAGUGCUGUAUCAUUGAUAUAGAUGGCCAUGGCCCGGACGCCGAAGAGGAGUACCUCCAGAACAAGUUUCUCGCCGAGAAUGAAAACGGAGAAGCAUUUGUAUGGAAGCCAGCCAUGAAGCAGGGCGACAAGCAAGCAACUCAUGUCUCUGCCUAG